GAUGAACGCUGGCGGCGUGCUUAACACAUGCAAGUCGAACGAAGCACUUUAUUUGAUUUCCUUCGGGACUGAUUAUUUUGUGACUGAGUGGCGGACGGGUGAGUAACGCGUGGGUAACCUGCCUUGUACAGGGGGAUAACAGUUGGAAACGGCUGCUAAUACCGCAUAAGCGCACAGCAUCGCAUGAUGCAGUGUGAAAAACUCCGGUGGUAUAAGAUGGACCCGCGUUGGAUUAGCUAGUUGGUGAGGUAACGGCCCACCAAGGCGACGAUCCAUAGCCGACCUGAGAGGGUGACCGGCCACAUUGGGACUGAGACACGGCCCAAACUCCUACGGGAGGCAGCAGUGGGGAAUAUUGCACAAUGGGCGAAAGCCUGAUGCAGCGACGCCGCGUGAGCGAAGAAGUAUUUCGGUAUGUAAAGCUCUAUCAGAAGGGAAGAUAAUGACGGUACCUGACUAAGAAGCACCGGCUAAAUACGUG
rnacentral:rRNA from 1 species